rnacentral:rRNA from 1 species
AUUGAACGCUGGCGGCAGGCUUAACACAUGCAAGUCGAGCGAGCGGCGGACGGGUGAGUAAUGUCUGGGACACUGCCUGAUGGAGGGGUAUAACUACUGGAAACGGUAGCUAAUCCCGCAUACCAUCAGAUGUGCCCAUAUGGGAUUAGCUAGGCGGGGGGGUAAGGGCUCACCUAGGCGACGCUCCCUAGCGGGUCUGAGAGGAUGACCAGCCACACUGGAACUGAGACACGGUCCAGACGCCGACGGUAGGCAGCAGUGGGGAAUAUUGCACAAUGGGCGCAAGCCUGAUGCAGCCAUGCCGCUUGUGUGAAGAAGGCCUUCGGGUUGUAAAGCACUUUCAGCGAGGAGGCGUUACUCGCAGAAGAAGCACCGGCUAACUCCGUGCCAGCAGCCGCGGUAAUUC